AGCAGCCGCGGUAAUUCCAGCUCCAAUAGCGUAUAUUAAAGUUGUUGCAGUUAAAAAGCUCGUAGUUGAAUUUCGGGGUUAGUAGGUUGGUCAUGCCUCUGGUAUGUACUGAUCUCACUGAUUCCUCCUUCCUGAUGAACCGUAAUGCCAUUAAUUUGGUGUUGCGGGGAAUUUGGACUGUUACUUUGAAAAAUUAGUGUAGUUUAAAGCAAGCUAACGCUUGAAUACAUUAGCAUGGAAUAAUGAAAUAGGACGUUCGAUCCUAUUUUGUUGGUUUCUAGGAUUGACGUAAUGAUUAAUAGGGAUAGUUGGGGGCAUUAGUAUUCAAUUGUCAGAGGUGAAAUUCUUGGAUUUAUUGAAGACUAACUACUGCGAAAGCAUUUGCCAAGGAUGUUUUCAUUAAUCAAGAACGAAAGUUAGGGGAUCGAAGACGAUCAGAUACCGUCGUAGUCUUAACCAUAAACUAUGCCGACUAGGGAUCGGAUGAUGUAAUUUUUUAAUGACUCAUUCGGCGCCUUAA
rnacentral:rRNA from 1 species